rnacentral:rRNA from 1 species
UACGUAGGGUCCGAGCGUUGUCCGGAUUUAUUGGGCGUAAAGAGCUCGUAGGCGGCUUGUCGCGUCGACUGUGAAAACCCGCGGCACAUCUGCGGCUGCAGCCGAUACGGGCAGGCUAGAGUUCGGUAGGGGAGACUGGAAUUCCUGGUGUAGCGGUGAAAUGCGCAGAUAUCAGGAGGAACACCGGUGGCGAAGGCGGGUCUCUGGGGCCGAUACUGACGCUGAGGAGCGAAAAGCGUGGGGGAGCGAACAGG